rnacentral:rRNA from 1 species
GACGAACGCUGGCGGCGUGCUUAACACAUGCAAGUCGAACGGUAAGGCCCUUCGGGGUACACGAGUGGCGAACGGGUGAGUAACACGUGGGUGAUCUGCCCUGCACUUCGGGAUAAGCCUGGGAAACUGGGUCUAAUACCGGAUAGGACUCCUGGCUUCAUGGUUGGGGGUGGAAAGCUUUUGCGGUGUGGGAUGGGCCCGCGGCCCAUCGGCUUGUUGGUGGGGUAAUGGCCUACCAAGGCGACGACGGGUAGCCGGCCUGAGAGGGUGACCGGUCACACUGGGACUGAGAUACGGCCCAGACUCCUACGGGAGGCAGCAGUGGGGAAUAUGGCACAAUGGGCGCAAGCCUGAUGCAGCGACGCCGCGUGAGGGAUGACGGCCUUCGGGUUGUAAACCUCUUUCAGCUAUGACGAAGCGCAAGUGACGGUAGUAGCAGAAGAAGGACCGGCCAACUACGUGCCAGCAGCCGCGGUAA